rnacentral:rRNA from 1 species
UCCGUAGGGUGCAAGCGUUGUCCGGACUUAUUGGGCGUAAAGAGCUCGUAGGCGGUUUGUCGCGUCUGCUGUGAAAACUCAGGGCUUAACCCUGAGCCUGCAGUGGGUACGGGCAGACUAGAGUGUGGUAGGGGAGAUCGGAAUUCCUGGUGUAGCGGUGGAAUGCGCAGAUAUCAGGAGGAACACCGGUGGCGAAGGCGGAUCUCUGGGCCAUAACUGACGCUGAGGAGCGAAAGCGUGGGGAGCGAACAGG